UACGAAGGGGGCUAGCGUUGUUCGGUAAUCACGUGGGCGUAAAGGGUGCGUAGGCGGAUCUUUAAGUCAGGGGUGAAAUCCUGGAGCUCAACUCCAGAACUGCCUUGAUACUGAGGAUCGUCGAGUUCGGGAGAGGUGAGUGGAACUGCGAGUGUAGAGGUGAAAUUCGUAGAUAUUACGCAAGAACACCAGUGGCGAAGGCGGACUCGACUGGCCCGUAGUAC
rnacentral:rRNA from 1 species